rnacentral:misc_RNA from 1 species
GAUGUUUUGGGUUUGAAGAAGCGUGGCCAAGGACUGCGGUCUUGGAUUCGUGUUGAUUCUUUUGGGAACUCUCAGGUUAUUGAGGUUGACAAAUUCACUAUGAUGCGUCGUUGUGAUCUACCUGCUCGUGAUCUACGUUUGCUUGAUCCUCUGUUUGUUUACCCUUCAACAAUUCUUGGUAGAGAGAAGGCCAUAGUUGUGAAUUUGGAGCAGAUUCGAUGUAUUAUUACAGCUGACGAGGUUCUGCUACUGAAUUCCCUUGAUAGUUAUGUAUUGCAGUAUGUGGUGGAG